CCUACGGGAGGCAGCAGUGGGGAAUAUUGGGCAAUGGGGGCAACCCUGACCCAGCAACGCCGCGUGAAUGAAGAAGGUCUUCGGGUUGUAAAGUUCUUUUCUCAGGGAAGAAGAAAGUGACGGUACCUGAGGAAUAAGCCACGGCUAACUACGUGCCAGCAGCCGCGGUAAUACGUAGGAGGCAAGCGUUAUCCGGAUUGAUUGGGUGUAAAGGGCGUGUAGGUGGGAGGGCAAGUCAGAUGCGAAAACUCAGGGCUCAACUCUGAGACUGCAUCUGACACUGUGUGUCUUGAGUGCAGGAGAGGCAAUCGGAAGUCCUGGUGUAGCGGUGAAAUGCGUAGAUAUUAGGAGGAACACCAGUGGCGAAGGCGGAUUGCUGGACAGUAACUGACGCUGAGGCGCGAAAGCGUGGGGAGCAAACAGGAUUAGAUACCCCGGUAGUC
rnacentral:rRNA from 1 species